GGCUCAGUAGUGUAGUGGUCUAACACAUAAGUGCCUCGGAUAGACCCGAGACGGGGUUCGAAUCCCGCCUAAGCCG
rnacentral:tRNA from 1 species